CGGAGGAAAAGAAACUAACAAGGAUUCCCCUAGUAACUGCGAGUGAAGCGGGAAGAGCUCAAAUUUAAAAUCUGGCAGCAUUUGGCUGUCCGAGUUGUAAUCUAGAGAAGUGUUGCCCGUGCUGGACCGUGUACAAGUCUCCUGGGAUGGAGCGUCAUAGAGGGUGAGAAUCCCGUCUUUGACACGGACUACCAGUGCAUUGUGGUAUGCUCUCAAAGAGUUGAGUUGUUUGGGAAUGCAGCUCUAAAUGGGUGGUAAAUUCCAUCUAAAGCUAAAUAUUGGCGAGAGACCGAUAGCGAACAAGUACCGUGAGGGAAAGAUGAAAAGAACUUUGGAAAGAGAGUUAAACAGUAUGUGAAAUUGUUGAAAGGGAAACGUUUGAAGUCAGUCGCGUUGGCCAGGGAUCAAGCCAGCUAAUUUGGGGUGNNUAUAUCUCCUGGUCNAUGGGCCAAC
rnacentral:rRNA from 1 species